rnacentral:rRNA from 1 species
UCAAGUCUCCCAACGGCUAGUAGACAUCGUUUACGGCGUGGACUACCAGGGUAUCUAAUCCUGUUGAUCCCCACGCUUUCGCACCUCAGCGUCAGUACUGAACCAGGAGGCCGCCUUCGCCACUGGUAUUCCUCCAUAUAUCUACGCAUUUCACCGCUACACAUGGAAUUCUACCUCCCUCUUUCAUACUCUAGUGUGCCAGUAUCAACUGCAGUUCCCAGGUUGAGCCCAGGGCUUUCACAGCUGACUUAACACACCGCCUACGCGCGCUUUACGCCCAGUAAUUCCGAUUAACGCUCGGACCCUCCGUAUUACCGCGGCUGCUGGCACGGAGUUAGCCGGUCCUUCUUCUAAAGGUAAUGUCAAGGCUGGCCGCUAUUAACGACCAACUUUUCUUCCCAAUUGAAAGUGCUUUACAACCCUAGGGCCUUCUUCACACACGCGGCAUGGCUGCGUCAGGCUUUCGCCCAUUGCGCAAUAUUCCCCACUGCUGCCUCCCGUAGGAGUCUGGGCCGUGUCUCAGUCCCAGUGUGGCUGAUCAUCCUCUCAGACCAGCUAAGGAUCGUCGCCUUGGUGAGCCUUUACCUCACCAACUAGCUAAUCCUACGCAGGCUCAUCUGAUAACGCGAGGCCCGAAGGUCCCCCGCUUUCCCCCGUAGGGCGUAUGCGGUAUUAGUUUGAGUUUCCCCAAGUUAUCCCCCAUUACCAGGUAGAUUCCUACGCUUUACUCACCCGUCCGCCGCUGUACUCAGUCCGAAGACCUUUCUCGCUCGACUUGCAUGUGUUAGGCCUGCCGCCAGCGUUCAAUCUGAGCCAGGAUCAAACUCU